rnacentral:rRNA from 1 species
ACGCUCGACACCUACGGGAGGCAGCAGUGGGGAAUAUUGCACAAUGGGGGAAACCCUGAUGCAGCGACGCCGCGUGAGCGAAGAAGUAUUUCGGUAUGUAAAGCUCUAUCAGCAGGGAANAAAUGACGGUACCUGACUAAGAAGCCCCGGCUAACUACGUGCUAGCAGCCGCGGUAAUCUGAGCGGCUGGCAAGGC